GUUACGCAAUUUUGGAAAAAUUGAUUAUAACGUAAAUGCAUAUCAUGGAGGACGUACUGCACUGUACCUGGUCUCGGCUACGUCUAAUUAUAACAAUACACAAAUGUCUUUGGUACGAUCCGGAUAUGAUGGUAAUCACGUACAAAUUGAGCUCCUUUCAAAGAUAAGUUCAUCAGUAUCAAAUGAAGAUCAAAGUUAUAACUAUCAGGUAGACGAAGAAGGAAUGCUUAUUGCUCAUUGUUACUAUGACAGUAAUCACAUCAUGCUUUUAACAAACGACAGUAACUAUGGCAAUCUAAGGAAUGGGGUGUUUGUAGAAAUACAGGAGAAUAAGCCAUCCGUAGAGUUUCCUUUGAAUGUCAAUGGUGCGAGAAAUGAACGUGGAGGGGGAAUUACAUUGAUACUUUGUAGUGGCGGGAAAGGAGACGAUUCUAUAAAUACGCUGUAUUUGAUUCUCUCUGAGACAGAAGGGAACAAAUUCAGCACUAAAGCCAUUUCUGGGGAGGAUAAAUACGAGUUUUCUGUUAAUGAAGAUGGCAUUCUUUGUGUCAGUGGACCAGCCGGAAGUCGAUUUGCUUUAUGGCAUAAUAGAGAUAAUUUAACACCAAUACCAGCGUUAACGUUACAUCCUUUUGUCAGUCAGACUCAGUGCAUAGACGGAAAGGAAGCAUGUUUACUAAUGGAAAACGUUACAGAACAUGCUGCUUUAGUAAUCCUAUGCUCAAACAGUAACGGUAUGGAAGAUUCUACGGUUUCCAGUGUUUAUCAUUUAGUGAUAAAAGAUGGAACUCUUGUUGCGACAAAUGCAAUAUCUGGUUGUCAUGGUACCAAUUACAAAAAGUCGGACUUAUGGAAUUUUGAAGUUAUUGGUGGUCGUUUGCUUGCUUCUGGACCGACUGGACCUUGUAGAUAUGGGGUUUUAUCCAAUAUAAUAGCAUCAAAAGAAGAAUUAAAGACAUCAUGCAAACAAGAUUUCUGUCUAGCAACAGGCGAAUCAACGAAAACGAAGGGGGACAUAGAAGUGACCUUAAAGGAAAUAAAAGGGCAUGUCAACAAACCUUCAGAGAUUUGUAUAAUGUUAGACCAUAAAAUAAUUCAGCUUAUUCCCACUGAUGAGCUUUCACAGCAAAAUGGAUCUUAUUCAUUUAGGUAUAUAUGGAAGGAAGAUGAGAGAGAAGAGGGGCAUUAUCUGGUACGGGUAUUUGCAAUCAGGAAACAUGUCAGAAGUAUGUAUGUUUACAACUCAAUUUAUCAAAAUGUCAUUUGAGAAUUCUCAAAUGUUCAAUGCGUAAUCUACGUAUGUAUGUUUACAACUCAAUUUAUCAAACUGUCAUUUGAGAAUUCUCAAAUAUUCUAUGCGUAGCUACAUAUGUCUGUUUACAACUCAAUUUAUCAAAAUGUCAUUUGAGAAUAAUGAAAGUAUUCUCAAAUAUUCUAUGCGUAAGCUAUGUAUGUAUAUUUACGACUCACUUUAUCAAAAUGUCAUUUGAGAAUUCUCAAAUAUUCUAUGCCUAAUUAGCUACGUAUGUAUGAUUACAACUCAAUUUAUCAAAAUGUUCUUUGAGAAAAAUGAAAGUAUUCUCCAAUAUUCUAUGCGUAAGCUACGUAUGUAUGUUUACAACUCACUUUAUCAAAAUGUCAUUUGAGAAUACUCAAAUAUUCUAUGCCUAAGCUACGUAUAUGUUUACAAUUCAAUUUAUCAAACUGUCAUUUGAAAGUUCUCAAAUGUUCUAUGCACAAUCUACGUAUGUAUGUUUACAACUCAAUUUAUCAAAAUGUCAUUUGAGAAUUCUCAAAUAUUCUAUGCGUAAGCUACGUAUGUAUAUUUACAACUCAAUUUAUCAAUAUGUCAAUUGAGAAUACUGGAAGUAUUUUCAAAUAUUCCUUGCGUAAGUUUUGCCUUUCAUCAACUCAUUUUUGUUUAAAUUAUUUUCUAGAUUUUAAAUUCUUUUCAUGUGUGUGUCUAUAAGGAACGGUAACUUUCGAAAUCUAUUCAUGUCAGAGUAGAAUGAAAAAGUGAUAAAAAUAAAAGUAAAAGACAUUACGGUUCUUGAAAUAAAAUAUUGUCGAUUUAACAUUCAAAAGGGCAGAGAAGUCACUAGUUUCGGUACUUAAACUCAAUAGAAUAAUAUAAAUAUAUAUUAAUUUUGUAACGUUGUCUUAUAUAUCUUUAUUCUGUUAUUUUGCGAUUGUUUUUAACAUUAUAAUAAUUUUAUUCACCAAACAUUACUUGUAUUGUUAAAAUAAACCAUUACGAUUCCAAGCUCUUCUUGACGUACCCUGUUACAAUCCACUGGCUACCCGAGAAUAAUCAGCUGAUUAGAUUAAUUGACAUUCAUUUUGCCGACAAAACACUAUGAUAAUAAUACAAGAAAAAAUAUUCAUUGCUUAUGUUCCUUUUAAUUGUAAGUAACAUUGAACGUAUUGUCUUAUGUCCAUUAAUAUUGGUAUCUACUCUCUUGGUGAAUUCAUUGACAAUUAUAUAGACGUCCAUGUUUUUUGUUUCCUGCUCAGAUACAUAGAUACAUGAUUAUUUUUUUAAGGUGGCGAGGAUGUUUACAUAGAACUUACAAAUUCUCCGUAUUCAUUGAUUAGACAGAAGUCGGGAGUUAUUUACGCCUUGAAUGUCGCAAGCCCAAUGUACAAAG
rnacentral:lncRNA from 1 species